UAAGGAAUAUUGGUCAAUGGACGCAAGUCUGAACCAGCCAUGCCGCGUGAAGGAUGAAGGUCCUCUGGAUUGUAAACUUCUUUUAUCUGGGGCGAAACACCGAUUUUCUAAUCGGCUUGACGGUACCAGAUGAAUAAGCACCGGCUAACUCCGUGCCAGCAGCCGCGGUAAUACGGAGGGUGCAAGCGUUAUCCGGAUUCACUGGGUUUAAAGGGUGCGUAGGCGGGCAGGUAAGUCCGUGGUGAAAUCUCAGAGCUUAACUCUGAAACUGCCAUGGAUACUAUUUGUCUUGAAUGUUGUGGAGGUGAGCGGAAUAUGUCAUGUAGCGGUGAAAUGCUUAGAUAUGACAUAGAACACCAAUUGCGAAGGCAGCUCACUACACAAAUAUUGACGCUGAGGCACGAAAGCGUGGGGAUCAAACAGG
rnacentral:rRNA from 1 species